UACGUAGGGUGCGAGCGUUAAUCGGAAUUACUGGGCGUAAAGCGUGCGCAGGCGGUUUUGUAAGCCAGAUGUGAAAUCCCCGAGCUUAACUUGGGAACUGCAUUUGUGACUGCAUGGCUAGAGUACGGUAGAGGGGGAUGGAAUUCCGCGUGUAGCAGUGAAAUGCGUAGAUAUGCGGAGGAACACCGAUGGCGAAGGCAAUCCCCUGGACCUGUACUGACGCUCAUGCACGAAAGCGUGGGGAGCAAACAGG
rnacentral:rRNA from 1 species